rnacentral:rRNA from 1 species
AAUGAACGCUGGCGGCGUGCUUAACACAUGCAAGUCGAGCGAGAAAGUCGACUUCGGUCGAUGAGUAAAGCGGCGAACGGGUGAGUAACACGUGGGUAACCUGCCUAGAAGUGGGGGAGUAACCUGGGGAAACUCGGGCUAAUACCGCAUACGACCGCGGCACUGCGGUGCUGUGAGGAAAGCUGGUCAAUGCUUGCAAACUGGCGCUUUUAGAGGGGCCCGCGCCCGAUUAGGUAGUUGGUGAGGUAACGGCUCACCAAGCCGACGAUCGGUAGCCGGCCUGAGAGGGCGAUCGGCCACACUGGGACUGAGACACGGCCCAGACUCCUACGGGAGGCAGCAGUGGGGAAUAUUGGACAAUGGGGGCAACCCUGAUCCAGCAACGCCGUGUGGAGGACGAAGGUUUUCGGAUCGUAAACUCCUGUCAGUUGGGACGAAAAGCUGUCGGUCAAUAGCCGGCAGUCAUGACGGUACCAGCAGAGGAAGCCCCGGCUAACUCCGUG